rnacentral:rRNA from 1 species
UAAAUUGCUGUGGUAUUUUGACUAUACAAAGGUAUUGAAAUAAGGCUUUAAUUGAGCGCUAAAAGAAAGGAAACACGGGGAAAAGCUUUCUUAAACUUAAAAAUCGAAGUUAUUUUUAUUUGUGAAGAAACAAUAAUUUAAAUUAAGGACAAGAAGACCCUAAGAAUUUUCAUAUAAAAUUGUGUUUAAAUUAUCAUAACAAUUUUAUCUUUAAUUGGGGCGAUUAAUUAAUAUAAAUAACUUUUUCAUAUUAAAAAUAUGAACCAUUAUUAAUGGUUACUUGAAAAAAAAUACUCUAGGGAUAACAGCGUAAUAAUUUUUGAUAGUUCCUAUAGACAAAAUAGUUUGCGACCUCGAUGUUGGAUUAGGAUAUUUUUUUAACGGANAGGUUAAAAAAAANANUUUGUUCAACU